AGUGAGCUUCGUUUGCAACAGCAUCCUUUUUCUUUUUCCUUUAAAAAGAAAAAGACAGAGUGGAAAGCGGGACAUCGA
rnacentral:sRNA from 1 species